GAACGUGAAUCUACGUGAACUGAUUAGAAGCUUGCUUCUAUGACGUUAGCGGCGGACGGGUGAGUAACACGUGGGCAACCUGCCUGUAAGACUGGGAUAACUUCGGGAAACCGAAGCUAAUACCGGAUAGGAUCUUCUCCUUCAUGGGAGAUGAUUGAAAGAUGGUUUCGGCUAUCACUUACAGAUGGGCCCGCGGUGCAUUAGCUAGUUGGUGAGGUAACGGCUCACCAAGGCAACGAUGCAUAGCCGACCUGAGAGGGUGAUCGGCCACACUGGGACUGAGACACGGCCCAGACUCCUACGGGAGGCAGCAGUAGGGAAUCUUCCGCAAUGGACGAAAGUCUGACGGAGCAACGCCGCGUGAGUGAUGAAGGCUUUCGGGUCGUAAAACUCUGUUGUUAGGGAAGAACAAGUACAAGAGUAACUGCUUGUACCUUGACGGUACCUAACCAGAAAGCCACGGCUAACUACGUGCCAGCAGCCGCGGUAAUACGUAGGUGGCAAGCGUUAUCCGGAAUUAUUGGGCGUAAAGCGCGCGCAGGCGGUUUCUUAAGUCUGAUGUGAAAGCCCACGGCUCAACCGUGGAGGGUCAUUGGAAACUGGGGAACUUGAGUGCAGAAGAGAAAAGCGGAAUUCCACGUGUAGCGGUGAAAUGCGUAGAGAUGUGGAGGAACACCAGUGGCGAAGGCGGCUUUUUGGUCUGUAACUGACGCUGAGGCGCGAAAGCGUGGGGAGCAAACACGAUUAUAUACCCUGGUGGUCCACACCCGUA
rnacentral:rRNA from 1 species